rnacentral:rRNA from 1 species
AGUGAACGCUGGCGGUAUGCCUAACACAUGCAAGUCGAACGGCAGCGCACUAAGAUCUUGCUCUUACGGGUUGCGGAUGGCGGACGGAUGAGGAAUACAUCGUAAUCUACUUUUUCGUGUGGGAUUACGUAGGGAGACUUACUCUAAUACCGCACACGACCUACGGUUGAAAUCAGGAGAGCUUUUGACCUUGGGCGUGUGAAUGAGCCGAUGUCGGAUGUGCUAGUUGGCGGGGUCAAGGCCCACCAAGGCGAAUAUCCGUAGCUGGUCUGAGAGGAUGAUAGGCCACACUGGAACUGAGACAGGGUCAAGACUCCUACGGGAGGGAGCAGUGGGCAAUAUUAGACAGUGGGCGCAAGCAUGAUACAGCCAUACCGAGUGGGUGAAGAAGGCCUUCGGGUUGUAAAGACCUUCUGCUGGGAAAGAAAAGCAGCAGGUUAAUACCCAGCUGUUCUGACGGUACCCAAAGAAUAAGCACCGGCUAACUUCGUG